rnacentral:rRNA from 1 species
AGUGAACGCUGGCGGUAGGCCUAACACAUGCAAGUCGAACGGCAGCACAGUAAGAGCUUGCUCUUACGGGUGGCGAGUGGCGGACGGGUGAGGAAUACAUCGGAAUCUACUUUUUCGUGGGGGAUAACGUAGGGAAACUUACGCUAUUACCGCAUACGACCUACGGGUGAAAGCAGGGGAUCUUCGGACCUUGCGCGAUUGAAUGAGCCGAUGUCGGAUUAGCUAGUUGGCGGGGUAAAGGCCCACCAAGGCGGCGAUCCGUAGCUGGUCUGAGAGGAUGAUCAGCCACACUGGAACUGAGACACGGUCCAGACUCCUACGGGAGGCAGCAGUGGGGAAUAUUGGACAAUGGGCGCAAGCCUGAUCCAGCCAUACCGCGUGGGUGAAGAAGGCCUUCGGGUUGUAAAGCCCUUUUGUUGGGAAAGAAAAGCAGCAGGUUAAUACCCCGCUGUUCUGACGGUACCCAAAGAAUAAGCACCGGCUAACUUCGUG